ACUCUAUCAAGGUGGUGACAUUUAUACAGUUGUUUACAAAACAAUGUCCAUGUUUCCAGCGUUUUUGGUAUUUGAAUAAUUCGAAAAGUAAUACCGUUUCUAAACAAAUGUUAUUAAUUUUAUUUCUUGGUGACACGAUUUAAAUAAAGUGUGACCCUGAACCUUUAAGAUGAAAGAAUUUCUACGACAGGCCCCAAGCUGCCCUCGUCGCAGCAGAAGCUGCCCAUCUACACGGCCGAGACCCUGAGCAUCGCAGUCGCCACCUCCUGCCUCGCCGCGCUCGCCGUCGGCUUCGUGUCGGGCUUCCUGUUCUCGCGGCGUUGCCGUGGCGACCAGUACAACCAGAUGGCCUUCAACGACCAGCACCACCAGCUCAACAGUGUUUCAGUUACCCUUCCUCUAGAAGAGACCAUGGUGUUGGAAGAUAUCGAGAUGAAGACAUAGAAAAAGACGGCAUCCGAAUACAUUGGGACUUGCUAGCAGACAUGGGUCAUGUAAAGUUUUUCAGUACUUAAUUUUAUAGUUUUAUAGAAGCCAUGUGAAGGACAAGAAGACAGAAAACAGACAGGAUUGUGCCAGAGAGGGUGUUUCUAAUUAAUUUUAUUUGCAGAUUGGACAUCACGAUGCUGUGAGCUUACUUACUGAUUUUUUGAGUGUUUAUGAUUUUAAGCUUUUACUGUAGACUGCCAUUAUAAUUUUUUUUUAAUUUGGUGGAUACAGAUUUAAGGAGCUAGUUUUAAGUACUCAAUAUGGUUUUAGUUGUAAUUUAAUCACUAAUUCGAAAAUCAGUGUUUUUAGGUAUUUUUAUAAUUUCUGUUAAGAUUGCUACAGACAGGCUCAAUUUUGUUAUGUUUUUCCAUUAAGGGAUAGUGAUUGAAACAUGUGUUCAAGUUAAAAAUGUUAUGAUUAGUUUGAAGUCAAGUUUUUGUGGUAAAUGUUUAGUGGGUUGGCAUGAGUUAGGUUUGUUUUAUUUAUAAAACCAAAAGCAGAUUAACUUGUUUAUUUCAUUAGGAACUAUUUAUAACUUUUGGUCCAUUUUAAAAUUUCUUUGUGACAAUUAAGUAAAUUAAAAUGACAGAUAUAUUUACAUAUGUAUAUAAAAUUGACAAAUACUCAAUUUUGUUUUGAAUCUUUUUAUUUCUACUAAUAGGGAUUGAGGUUGGCUGCAUAAUUAAUUUUCUUAGGGCAUUAGUAAGUUGAAAGAUGAAAUAAGAAUAAUUUAUUUUUUCUUGAAAACCAUUUAAACAAAUAAGUUUUGUAUGCAGAUUUAGUUUGAUUUAAAGAAUUGGGUUAGGAAUGGUUGAAAUUUUGGGGGGUGGGAUUUAAACUGGCCAUUUCGUUUCCCCCUUCCUAUCGACCUUGGCUUACUGGAUGCUUCUACAUCCUAGAAGUGAACAUAGAAGAAGAGGGUUGGUGUGAAGUUGGAUCUCCCCCCCCCCCCCCCUUUACUUCCUCCUCCUCCCCAAUUAUAGGUGGACCUAGCUGGACAUGUUUUGGACCUGUGAAUGUUUUCGUCGUGAUUGGACUCUUUUAAAAGAGAGGGUGCUAUUGAUCUUUGUUUACAGUGGAAGAAGAGUAACUCUUCAGGAAGCCAGAGAGUGGUUUCCCCUGGACUUCCAGUUGUUUGUUAUUAUUGUCUCUCGUGGCUCCCGGGAGAGAUGCUGUUGGGUGGGUCAGGCAAAGAGGCCGUCAACCCAGUGGAAGAAUGGCAGGUGUUGUGAUGAUUAUGGUGGAUGAACUGUACCAGUUACUGAGUUGGAACCUUUCCUUAAGUUAGUCCAUUACUUCCAAGUCUAGGUAUUCUCCUGUGUAGGUUGUUUGAGGGUGACAAGUUGAUAAUUGCUUGUCCAAUUUAUUUUAUUUUCCCUUUACAUAUAAGAUUUUUAAGUUACUUGCUUCCAACUUCAAUAGUAGUAGCUGAGAUAUAAUGAAAGUAAUCUGGAGUCAUUUUAAAUGUUGUUAAUUUUUAAAAUUCAAUCUAAUAAUACAUACUUCGGAAAAUUUUUAAUAUUUUAAAACUAAGUAAACAUUAUAAAUGUUAAACUUAGUCCCAUUUUUAAAAAAUUGGUAGUUAUUUCAUGAAAGAUAGUUCAGUGAGGAGUAUCGUUUGUAGUUAUGACAAGAUGAUGAUGCAUUUUGAUGUUGUUCCAGUAAUCUGGCUGUGAUGGCGACUCGACUUCCGAAGCAGAGGUUGCAGAAGGUAUAAGCUGCCCUGGAGUCCUGUUCUGAAGAUGAAACCGGGAACUACACCUCAUGUUGACGGAGGGCGGACUGAACGUCGACGCAGCCUACCUGCCCCCCUGUGCCAACAACAAGGCGGCCAUCAACCUGGUCCUGAACGUGCCGCCAAAAAACGCCAACGGCAAGAACGCCAACUCUUCGGCCGAGAACAAGCCCAUCCAGAAGGUGAAGAAGACAUACAUUUAGCAGAAAUCCGCGGCUUUCCUAGCGCAGACCCGUUUCAUCCAUUUUACUGAGACUCUGCUGAAGAACGUCCUGAGGAAAGUGUAAAAACUGUGAGAUGAUUCGAUUCUGAUCGACUGCUUUUUAUGGGGAUGUCUUAGGAAAGCAAGCAAAUGUAUACAUAUUUAGACUUACGAAAAAGUUCUAAAAUAGAUGCUACAGUGAAGUGAUUAGCAGACAUGUGAUUGGGUGCAUUGGAGUCUUUUAGUGCUCUUAGAAAUGAAAGAAAACAAUAGUGUUACAAAGUGCUGUGCAAUGUCAGUUUGUUGGGUGAGAGAAGCAGACAUUUUUAAUUAUGUGCUAACUUUUAUUGUUGUGUCUAAACAUUUUUGAUGAUUUGCUUUUAAAUGCAGCACUGUUGCAAAGUAAAUUGGGGGUAAAUGCUUUCACUUAAAGCGGGGAAGUAUUGCAUUAAUACUAUAGGGAAAAUGUCGGUUCAAGUAAAAAAAAUGUUAAUCACAGGAAUUUGUAAAUCCCAAGUAUGAAAAUGAGGUUCUAUUGAAAUCUUAAUAUUGUGCACACGCUAUGUUUAUGUGAACUUUUACCCUUGUAUUUCACCACUGUACAUGCUGCAUGCCACCUGCGUAUUGCUGGUUUUAUUUCUUAUGUCACAGGUCACACACACCCAUAUUCCAGUAUUGUUUGUGCUGUAUGCUUUUUUAUUUCCCAAUCUGGCUUGUACAAAUUAUCUUGUUGAGCCCUCUCCAUCUUCAAAGCUAUGUUAUAAGUAUGAGAAGACUAAGAGAAGAAAUUAUUACAUACUUGUAUAUUACUGAUUAUGUGUAUGUAGCAAUCAGAUGUAUUGCAUUUUUAAUAUUAUGUUAAAAAUAUCUUUAUAAUGAUUCUGUGGAAGUUAAAUGCAGAAUUAUAGUGCCUUUUAGCAUUGUUUUUGGUUGUAUUGUGAGAAAAUCCUCUGUUAGGAAUACGGCAAAGAAGUAUGUAACACUGAAACUACAAAUAAAAAUCAUCCCAAAAUUUGCGAUGGAAUAAACAGCUCCCUUCAGAACCACAAAGCUGAUUGACAAAACUUUCUUGAAUCACCACUGUAGUACUUAACAUACACUAUUGUAUUUCGUUCAGUGAAGUGUAUUCUGCAAAUUCAUGUUCUUGUAAUGUGUUUAUCCGGAGUUAGUGGUAUUCAGCAGUUUGCAAACUAGUUAAGUUGGUCUGCUAAUGCAUGAUACUAUUACCAAAUUCUUGUUUUAAAGCUUAUUGAAAUAUGUUUUCAGUGAGAUAUAAAUUUUAUUCCUCAAAGAGCAAAACCAACUGAAUGUGACUGAAGCAAAAUUUCCAUAAUAAUCUUUGCCGAAUUUUUUUUUCUAAUUAGGUACAUAGCCUAUAUGUAAUUUGUCAUGACCAAUUAUCAUAAAAUUCAUACGUGUGCACGUGUUUGUGUGUGUGUGUUUGGUCUACUUUGAAUAUUUGAUAUGAGUAUUUUGUUUAUGUUGAAGGAUUUCAACUGUGUUUGUUGUCAGUUGGAGAGAAAUUUCUUGUCAUUGAACCACUUGUACUUUCAUAAAAAUACAUUUACAAUUCAAAGUU